rnacentral:lncRNA from 1 species
GGCAGCCAGAGGCGGUCUUGUAGCUGGGCCAGCCUGGGGCUUGGUUGUAUGUCCCUGCGGGUCGGUGCGAGGGCGAAGAGGAACCCGUGGGCCCGGGGGAUCCCGGGGGGCCGGACCAGUGUUCCCCAGUUGUGGGAGCAGACGCGUGGGCGCAUCGCGGGCGGGCAGGGCCUGAAGUGCAGUAUGUUUCCAGUGUCCUCUGGGUGUUCCAAGAGCUACAAGAAACGAAUAAAUCUCU